AGUGGCGAACGGGUGAGUAACGCGUGAGUAUCUGCCCUUAGGAGGGGGACAACAGUUGGAAACGACUGCUAAUACCCCAUAUGUCUACGGAUGAAAGAUUUUAUCGCCUGAGGAUGAGUUCGCGUCUGAUUAGCUAGUUGGUGAGGUAAAGGCUCACCAAGGCGACGAUCAGUAGCUGGUCUGAGAGGAUGAUCAGCCACACUGGGACUGAGACACGGCCCAGACUCCUACGGGAGGCAGCAGUGGGGAAUUUUCCGCAAUGGGGGCAACCCUGACGGAGCAAUACCGCGUGCGGGAGGACGGCCUGUGGGUUGUAAACCGCUUUUCUCAGGGAAGAAGACCUGACGGUACCUGAGGAAUCAGCAUCGGCUAACUCCGUGCCAGCAGCCGCGGUAAUACGGAGGAUGCAAGCGUUAUCCGGAAUUAUUGGGCGUAAAGCGUCCGUAGGUGGUUAAUCAAGUCUGCUGUUAAAGAGCGGAGCUUAACUCCGUUUAAGCGGUGGAAACUGGUUGACUAGAGAGUGGUAGGGGUAGAGGGAAUUCCCAGUGUAGCGGUUAAAUGCGUAGAUAUUGGGAAGAACACCGGUGGCGAAAGCGCUCUACUGGGCCACAUCUGACACUGAUGGACGAAAGCUAGGGGAGCGAAAGGGAUUAGAUACCCC
rnacentral:rRNA from 1 species